UGGAGUUUGCUAGAUGUCCACUCCAGACCCUAUUUGCUUGGGUGUCAGCAGCAGUGGCUGCAGAACAGCUGAUUUUCGUGAACCGCGAAUACUGCUGUCUGAUCAUUCUUCUGGAAGUUUUGUCUCAGAGGAGUACCCAGCCAUGUGAGGUGUCAGUCUGCCCCUAGUGGGGGGUGCCUCCCAGUUAGGCUGCUCAUGGUUCAGGGGUCCGGGACCCACUUGAGGAGUCUGUCUGCCUGUU
rnacentral:lncRNA from 1 species